rnacentral:rRNA from 1 species
UGCCAGCCGCCGCGGUAAUACGGAGGGUGCAAGCGUUGUUCGGAAUUACUGGGCGUAAAGCGCGUGUAGGCGGUUAGAUAAGUCAGAUGUGAAAGCCCACGGCUCAACCGUGGAAGUGCAUUUGAAACUGUUUAGCUUGAGUUCGGGAGAGGAAAGUGGAAUUCCCGGUGUAGAGGUGGAAUUCGUAGAUAUCGGGAAGAACACCGGAGGCGAAGGCGGCUUUCUGGACCGAUACUGACGCUGAGACGCGAAAGCGUGGGGAGCAAACAGGAUUAGAUA